UCAGAAUUAAACAAGAAAUAUUGAAGAAACCCUCUUAAUAAAUAUGAUAUUUCAGGGACGUGGUCGGACCAAAUAUCAAAAUGGCUACGUUAAAGAUUGACUAUGGUGUAAUAAAAUUAGAAGCCUUAUCGUUUAAUUGAGAAAAACAAAUUUAGUUGGUAAUCAACCUUAACCCAACAACCAUUUACCGUUCACCAAUGAUCAGUCACCCUAUGCUGUGGACAGGAAUAUACAUGAGCAACGAGUUCAGAUUGUUUCUGGAAACCCCUGAACUCCUCAUUUACAAUGUGGACUCUUCCAGCAGAAAUUGUAGGCAAAUAUCUACAUUUGUCGCUCCUUUGAAUGUCAAUAUAUGGAAUCAAAUUGACCAUGUCAAAAAUAGAAAUAAGAAAGAUGCUUAUUUAAAUCAAUUUCUAUAUUUAUAGAAGUUCAUUUAAGUACAGAUUCAAAUUGAAAUUGAAAAAUUUGAAGGUACCCUCUUAGUAAAUA